UUUCAGGCAGAACUCAACCAGAAAAUCUGAUCACCUCUGAACCCGUCUCAUUUUCUCUGCCUCAGUUUUUCUUCCUCCUCUUUGUUUCCUGAACCUGCUCAGGCUGCGAUGUUCCUCAUGGCCGGUUCCAGCUUGGAAACGGCUAAGCUAGCUCGGUCCUAGCUACUGUUUGGAGACCACAGCCUUCAGAAUAAAAGUCUCCUUCAGCAGUAUUGUUGCUGGAUGGAGUCGGUGCUGCAGCGUCUCUGAUGUCAGUCAUGGAUUGUCUUGUUGUAUCGGUGAACCUGGUUUUGACGCUGCUGAUGGUUUCAUGGUUCCACCGCUCAGCUGUGUCUUCUGAUCUGCGUGUCUUUGAAAAGAGACGGACGCCUCCAGAGCACGGGACGCUGACUGAACCUGGAAACCUGGAAACUGAACCUGGAAACCUGGAAACUGAACCUGGAAACCUGGAAACUGAACCUGGAAAGUGGUGAGAGAGUGAGGAGGGCUGGAGGGUGAGAGGAGAAGCUGCUCCACCAGGAAACCUCAUCCUGCUUCACAUUGUUCUGGUUUCUCCCCGACGGGAGGAAGUAAAAAACUUGACAUUUCCCUGAAUCCUGUAAACAGAUUCUCAGAUCUGAUUGUUCAUCGAGAGCCGGAAAAUGAAAAAUCUGUCAUAAAUGGAGAAAAUCAAAACCUUGAACCUUUAAAUUCCAGUAAUGUUUCUAAUAAAACAAUAAUAUUUAGCUCAA